UUUACAUAACUUACAAUAAGUCUACAUUAGGUGAAUUGACCAUUUUUGACCUUAAAAGUUCACUUUUUAGGUACUUAAGAGUCAAAUUUGGAGUUUGACCUUAUUCUUUGCUUUUGACCACAUUCCUACCUUUGUUAGACUAAGUUAGACUUGUUAGGAUGUUUACAUACCUUAGAAUAAGUCUACAUUAGCUUAAUUGACCAUUUUUGACCUUAAAAGUUCACUUUUUAGGUACUUAAGAGUCAAAUUUGGAGUUUGACCUUAUUCUUUUCUUUUGACCACUUUCCUACCUUGAUUAGACUAAGUUAGACUUGUUAGGAUGUUUGCAUACCUUAGAAUAAGUUUACAUUAGGUUAAUUGACCAUUUUUUACCUUAAAAGUUCACUUUUUAGGUACUUAAGAGUCAAAUUUCGAGUUUGACCUUAUUCUUUGCUUUUGACCACAUUCCUACUCUUAUUAGACUAAGUUAGACUUGUUAGGAUGUUUACAUACCUUAGAAUAAGUCUACAUUAGGUUAAUUGACCAUUUUUGACCUUUAAAGUUCACUUUUUAGGUACUUAAGAGUCAAAUUUCGAGUUUGACCUUAUUCUUUGUUUUUGACCACUUUCCUACCUUGAUUAGACUAAGUUAGACUUGUUAGGAUGUUUGCAUACCUUAGAAUAAGUCUACAUUAGGUUAAUUGACCAUUUUUGACCUUAAAAGUUCACUUUCUACUUUCCAAAAUUGACUCAAAAUUGGAGGUUUUGGAAGUGAUUUUGUGCCUAAUCCAUUUUGACACUUUCCUAAUCAUUUCAACAGUUUUAAUUCAUCAAAACACACUUGUUUCAACUCUAAUCAGGCACAAAACAGAACUGCAACUCAGAUUCACUUUGCAAGUUCCAAAAAUGGCUCAAAUAUGAUGGUUUGACAUACUAAAUUGCAUACAGGUCAUUCUAACAUCAUAUGAAUGGUUCUAACAACUNUAAUACAUCAAUUUGCACUUGUUUAAACUACCAAACAUCACAGAAUCACAGCAGAACGAAAAAUGACUUGUAAUGACUCAAUUUUACUACACUUUUUAAGGUUUAAAGUAGUGUCAUUUUGAGUUUUAGGGAAUUCUUUGCUUGUCACCACUUCAAAUACCUUUAUUAGACAAAGUAAGAAUUGUUAGAAUGUUUACAUACCUUAGAAUAAGUCUACAUUAGGUGAAUUGACAAAUUUUCACCUUAAAAGUUCACUUUUUAGGUACUUAAAACUCAAACUUUGAGUUUUAGCUUAUUCUUUGCUUUUCACUAAUAUCCUACCUUUAUUAGACUAAGUUAGACUUCUUAGGAUGUUUACAUACCUUAGAAUAAGUCUACAUUAAGUUGAAUUGACAAAUUCUCACCUUAAACUCAGUUUUUGUGUUGUGAUGGAGUGAUUUUUAUGAGUUUUUGGCCAUAGCAAACUCAAAUUUCGAAUUCUACCAUUUUUAUGCUGUGUGACAGUUUUAGGAAGUCUAAAAUGGUGUUUAAAAGUUGCUAGGAGAGUUCAUUUGGUGAUAUAAUGGUCUAAGUGCAGAAUAGUACACUAAACCAUCAAUUUUGAGUCAAAAUUGGGUUGUGGCUAGGUGUUUUUUGGGUUCUGUGUGCUUCUCUAGUUUUGGAACGUUUGAAUAAGUGUAAUUGAUCAUUACAAACUUGUCAGCACUGUUUAAAUGGUCAUUCUCCAUCCUUGUGCACAAAAACAGUUUCAGCCAUUCCAUUUUUGCUAAAUUUCCAACUGAACUAGUGAAAUUCUGCAUUGGACGUUUUCUAGUCUGUUUCAUUGGUUGAACACUUUCCAUUUGAUGAUAUAAACAUGUUAGAAGUGCCAUAUGAACAACUGAGUCCCUAAUGUUCAUUUUCACUACUGCAGUUCCAUUUUAGACCUGUUUUGGUGACAUUUUUCACUAAAAUUGCUACAUAAUUGGCAACUACUACACUNAUUUUGAGAUUCUGUGAUUUCCUGUCCAUUUUCCAUGGUCUAGCAAGUGUAUUUGGUCAAUUAAAGUUUGCUUAUACUGUUCAUAUGGUCAAAGUCUGCAGCUAGUCGAGAAACAUACAUCAAACCACUUCAUUUUAGUACAUUUUAGGAGCNAGACNAGUGAAAUUCNGGUCUGCAUAUUUCUUGGUUGUUUCCAUGAUUUGAACAUGUUUCAAUUGAUGAUAAAAAGUUGUUUGAAGUGUCAUUAGAUAUUCUUAGGCUAAUUUAGGUGA
rnacentral:lncRNA from 1 species